rnacentral:rRNA from 1 species
AUUGAACGCUGGCGGCAGGCUUAACACAUGCAAGUCGAGCGGGGUGAUGGUGCUUGCACUAUCACUUAGCGGCGGACGGGUGAGUAAUGCUUAGGAAUCUGCCUAUUAGUGGGGGACAGCAUCUCGAAAGGGAUGCUAAUACCGCAUACGUCCUACGGGAGAAAGCAGGGGAUCACUUGUGACCUUGCGCUAAUAGAUGAGCCUAAGUCGGAUUAGCUAGUUGGUGGGGUAAAGGCCUACCAAGGCGACGAUCUGUAGCGGGUCUGAGAGGAUGGUCCGCCACACUGGGACUGAGACACGGCCCAGACUCCUACGGGAGGCAGCAGUGGGGAAUAUUGGACAAUGGGGGGAGCCCUGAUCCAGCCAUGCCGCGUGUGUGAAGAAGGCCUUAUGGUUGUAAAGCACUUUAAGCGAGGAGGAGGCUCUUUUGGUUAAUACCCAAGAUGAGUGGACGUUACUCGCAGAAUAAGCACCGGCUAACUCUGUGCCAGCCGCCGCGGUAA